GACGAACGCUGGCGGCGGGCUUAACACAUGCAAGUCGAACGGAAAGGCCCUGCUUUUGUGGGGUGCUCGAGUGGCGAACGGGUGAGUAACACGUGAGUAACCUGCCCUUGACUUUGGGAUAACUUCAGGAAACUGGUGCUAAUACCGGAUAGGAGCUCCUGCUGCAUGGUGGGGGUUGGAAAGUUUCGGCGGUUGGGGAUGGACUCGCGGCUUAUCAGCUUGUUGGUGGGGUAGUGGCUUACCAAGGCUUUGACGGGUAGCCGGCCUGAGAGGGUGACCGGCCACAUUGGGACUGAGAUACGGACCAGACUCCUACGGGAGGCAGCAGUGGGGAAUAUUGCACAAUGGGCGGAAGCCUGAUGCAGCAACGCCGCGUGCGGGAUGACGGCCUUCGGGUUGUAAACCGCUUUCGCCUGUGACGAAGCGUGAGUGACGGUAAUGGGUAAAGAAGCACCGGCUAACUACGUG
rnacentral:rRNA from 1 species